rnacentral:rRNA from 1 species
CACGUAGGCACCAAGCGUUGUCCGGAAUUAUUGGGCGUAAAGAGCUCGUAGGCGGCUCGUUGCGUCGGCUGUGAAAACCCGCAGCUCAACUGUGGGCUUGCAGCCGAUACGGGCGGGCUGGAGUUCGGUAGGGGAGACUGGAAUUCCUGGUGUAGCGGUGGAAUGCGCAGAUAUCAGGAGGAACACCGAUGGCGAAGGCAGGUCUCUGGGCCGCAACUGACGCUGAGGAGCGAAAGCAUGGGGAGCGAACGGG